UACGUAGGGUGCAAGCGUUGUCCGGAAUUAUUGGGCGUAAAGAGCUCGUAGGUGGCCUGUCGCGUCGGCUGUGAAAACUCGGGGCUCAACUCCGAGCUUGCAGUCGAUACGGGCAGGCUAGAGUUCGGCAGGGGAGACUGGAAUUCCUGGUGUAGCGGUGAAAUGCGCAGAUAUCAGGAGGAACACCGGUGGCGAAGGCGGGUCUCUGGGCCGAUACUGACACUGAGGAGCGAAAGCGUGGGGAGCGAACAGG
rnacentral:rRNA from 2 species